rnacentral:rRNA from 1 species
GACGAACGCUUGCGGCGUGCUUAACACAUGCAAGUCGAACGGAAAGGCCCUGCUUUUGUGGGGUGCUCGAGUGGCGAACGGGUGAGUAACACGUGAGUAACCUGCCCUUGACUUUGGGAUAACUUCAGGAAACUGGGGCUAAUACCGGAUAGGAGCUCCUGCUGCAUGGUGGGGGUUGGAAAGUUUCGGCGGUUGGGGAUGGACUCGCGGCUUAUCAGCUUGUUGGUGGGGUAGUGGCUUACCAAGGCUUUGACGGGUAGCCGGCCUGAGAGGGUGACCGGCCACAUUGGGACUGAGAUACGGCCCAGACUCCUACGGGAGGCAGCAGUGGGGAAUAUUGCACAAUGGGCGGAAGCCUGAUGCAGCAACGCCGCGUGCGGGAUGACGGCCUUCGGGUUGUAAACCGCUUUCGCCUGUGACGAAGCGUGAGUGACGGUAAUGGGUAAAGAAGCACCGGCUAACUACGUGCCAGCAGCCGCGGUGAUACGUAGGGUGCGAGCGUUGUCCGGAUUUAUUGGGCGUAAAGGGCUCGUAGGUGGUUGAUCGCGUCGGAAGUGUAAUCUUGGGGCUUAACCCUGAGCGUGCUUUCGAUACGGGUUGACUUGAGGAAGGUAGGGGAGAAUGGAAUUCCUGGUGGAGCGGUGGAAUGCGCAGAUAUCAGGAGGAACACCAGUGGCGAAGGCGGUUCUCUGGGCCUUUCCUGACGCUGAGGAGCGAAAGCGUGGGGAGCGAACAGGCUUAGAUACCCUGGUAGUCCACGCUGUAAACGGUGGGUACUAGGUGUGGGGUCCAUUCCACGGGUUCCGUGCCGUAGCUAACGCUUUAAGUACCCCGCCUGGGGAGUACGGCCGCAAGGCUAAAACUCAAAGGAAUUGACGGGGCCCCGCACAAGCGGCGGAGCAUGCGGAUUAAUUCGAUGCAACGCGUAGAACCUUACCUGGGUUUGACAUGGAUCGGGAGUGCUCAGAGAUGGGUGUGCCUCUUUUGGGGUCGGUUCACAGGUGGUGCAUGGCUGUCGUCAGCUCGUGUCGUGAGAUGUUGGGUUAAGUCCCGCAACGAGCGCAACCCUUGUUCACUGUUGCCAGCACGUUAUGGUGGGGACUCAGUGGAGACCGCCGGGGUCAACUCGGAGGAAGGUGGGGAUGACGUCAAGUCAUCAUGCCCCUUAUGUCCAGGGCUUCACGCAUGCUACAAUGGCUGGUACAGAGAGUGGCGAGCCUGUGAGGGUGAGCGAAUCUCGGAAAGCCGGUCUCAGUUCGGAUCGGGGUCUGCAACUCGACCUCAUGAAGUCGGAGUCGCUAGUAAUCGCAGAUCAGCAACGCUGCGGUGAAUACGUUCCCGGG